rnacentral:rRNA from 1 species
UAAGGAAUAUUGGACAAUGGGGGCAACCCUGAUCCAGCCAUGCCGCGUGAGUGAAGAAGGCCUUCGGGUUGUAAAGCUCUUUCAGAUGUGAAGAUGAUGACGGUAACAUCAGAAGAAGCUCCGGCUAACUCCGUGCCAGCAGCCGCGGUAAUACGGAGGGAGCGAGCGUUGUUCGGAAUCACUGGGCGUAAAGCGUACGUAGGCGGUCCUGCAAGUCAGGAGUGAAAGCCCAGGGCUUAACCUUGGAAUU